rnacentral:rRNA from 1 species
AUUGAACGCUGGCGGCAUGCUUUACACAUGCAAGUCGAACGGCAGCGGGGGCUUCGGCCCGCCGGCGAGUGGCGAACGGGUGAGUAAUGCAUCGGAACGUGCCCAGUCGUGGGGGAUAACGCACCGAAAGGUGUGCUAAUACCGCAUACGUCCUGAGGGAGAAAGCGGGGGAUCGCAAGACCUCGCGCGAUUGGAGCGGCCGAUGCCGGAUUAGCUAGUUGGUGGGGUAAAGGCCUACCAAGGCGACGACCCGUAGCUGGUCUGAGAGGAUGAUCAGCCACACUGGGACUGAGACACGGCCCAGACUCCUACGGGAGGCAGCAGUGGGGAAUUUUGGACAAUGGGGGCAACCCUGAUCCAGCCAUGCCGCGUGAGUGAAGAAGGCCUUCGGGUUGUAAAGCUCUUUCGGCCGGGAAGAAAUCGUGGUCUCUAAUAUAGGCCAUGGAUGACGGUACCGGACUAAGAAGCACCGGCUAACUACGUGCCAGCCGCCGCAGUAAGAC